GACAGAGGUCUCGAGCGUUAGGCGGAAUCACUGGGCUUAAAGCGUGUGUAGGCGGAUGCCUAAGUACCUUGUGAAAUCCCACGGCUCACCCGUGGAACUGCUUGGUAUACUGGGUGUCUUGAGCCACUUAGGGGCUACCGGAACAAAUGGUGGAGCGGUGAAAUGCGUAGAUAUCAUUUGGAACGCCAACGGUGAAAACAGGUAGCUGGGAGUGUGCUGACGCUGAGACACGAAAGCCAGGGGAGCAAACGGG
rnacentral:rRNA from 1 species